GACGAACGCUGGCGGCGUGCUUAACACAUGCAGGUCGAGCGAUGAAACACCCUCGGGUGCGGAUUAGCGGCGAACGGGUGAGGAACACGUGAGGAAUCUGCCUUCCACUCUGGGAUAACUCCGGGAAACCGGGGCAAAUACCAGAUACUUUCAACUGGCGGCAUCACCGGGUGAAGAAUGUUUUUCGGUGGAAGAUGACCUCGCGGCCUAUCAGCUUGUUGGUGAGGUAAAGGCUUACCAAGGCGACGACGGGUAGGCGGCCUGAGAGGGCGACCGGCCACACUGGGACUGAGACACGGCCCAGACUCCUACGGGAGGCAGCAGUGGGGAAUAUUGGGCAAUGGAGGAAACUCUGACCCAGCGACGCCGCGUGAGGGAUGAAGGCCUUCGGGUUGUAAACCUCUUUCAGCAGGGAAUAAGCGAAAGUGAAGGUACCUGCAGAAGAAGCACCGGCUAACUAUGUGCCAGCCGCCGCGGUAA
rnacentral:rRNA from 1 species